CCAGACUCCUACGGGAGGCAGCAGUGGGGAAUAUUGGGCAAUGGGCGCAAGCCUGACCCAGCAACGCCGCGUGAAGGAAGAAGGCUUUCGGGCUGUAAACUUCUUUUAAGAGGGAGGAGCAGAAGACGGUACCUCUUGAAUAAGCCACGGCUAACUACGUGCCAGCAGCCGCGGUAAUACGUAGGGGGCGAGCGUUAUCCGGAUUUACUGGGUGUAAAGGGAGCGUAGACGGUUCUGCAAGUCUGAAGUGAAAGGCCGUGGCUUAACCGCGGAACGGCUUUGGAAACUGUGGAACUGGAGUGCUGGAGAGGCAAGCGGAAUUCCUAGUGUAGCGGUGAAAUGCGUAGAUAUUAGGAGGAACACCAGUGGCGAAGGCGGCUUGCUGGACAGUAACUGACGUUGAGGCUCGAAAGCGUGGGGAGCAAACAGGAUUAGAUACCCGGGUAC
rnacentral:rRNA from 1 species